GACAGAGGGGGCAAGCGUUGCUCGGAAUUACUGGGCGUAAAGGGCGCGUAGGCGGUUCGUUAAGUCCUGUGUGAAAUCCCCCGGCUCAACUGGGGAACUGCACAGGAAACUAGCGGGCUUGAGUUCGGGAGAGGGAAGCGGAAUUCCGGGUGUAGCGGUGAAAUGCGUAGAUAUCCGGAGGAACACCGGUGGCGAAGGCGGCUUCCUGGACCGACACUGACGCUGAGGCGCGAAAGCUAGGGGAGCAAACGGG
rnacentral:rRNA from 1 species